rnacentral:rRNA from 1 species
GAUGAACGCUGGCGGCGUGCCUAAUACAUGCAAGUCGAGCGAACAGACGAGGAGCUUGCUCCUCUGACGUUAGCGGCGGACGGGUGAGUAACACGUGGAUAACCUACCUAUAAGACUGGGAUAACUUCGGGAAACCGGAGCUAAUACCGGAUAAUAUAUUGAACCGCAUGGUUCACUAGUGAAAGACGGUUUUGCUGUCACUUAUAGAUGGAUCCGCGCCGCAUUAGCUAGUUGGUAAGGUAACGGCUUACCAAGGCGACGAUGCGUAGCCGACCUGAGAGGGUGAUCGGCCACACUGGAACUGAGACACGGUCCAGACUCCUACGGGAGGCAGCAGUAGGGAAUCUUCGGCAAUGGGCGGAAGCCUGACGGAGCAACGCCGCGUGAGUGAUGAAGGUCUUCGGAUCGUAAAACUCUGUUAUUAGGGAAGAACAAAUGUGUAAGUAACUAUGCACGUCUUGACGGUACCUAAUCAGAAAGCCACGGCUAACUACGUG